AUGGCGUCCGCUGAUCUUCUGAGGACGUUUACUAGCUGUUCUGGCAGCAAAAUGGCGUCAGCUGGAGAGCUACAGCUGUCUACCACCCGCGCGCCCUCUGCCGCCAGUGAUGAACACUGCCAACGUACACAACAUGUCGUUUCCUGCAUUAACCCGAUCGCCUCUCCUCGUCUCGUGGUGACUGCGAUUAUUCGAUGUUUUCUGCUUCACUUUUGCACCACCAUCAUGCUGCACGCAGCGUCAUCGAAGCCUAAGCCUCGGAAGAACCCGAUCAUGACCAUAGCACAGGUGGAAGUGAUUAAGAAAGUGGACAGUGGAAGAAAGAAGAUUGGCCGUUUCCCCAGGUACCCAUUUAUCGACCAGCCCAAGUGGGAGGAUGAACAGCUGGGUGAGCUGCACACCGACUGCCCGGGCCGGGAUUUGAACCCGGGCCAGCGGAGUAGAAACCAGGCACGCUGACCACUAAACCACGGGCAAAAAUGUCAGUUAAAGUAGGGUAAUUAUUGGACAAUCUAUCAACCAACUCUCUCUGUAAGGCCACAGGUAGUUUAUUAAAAACAAUGUGACUGAUUAAUGAGUGUCCAGCAGUUUCUUCUGUUAAUAGGUCAACAUCAUGAGCCUUUAACUCAUGUAGGUAAGACCUCAUUUCAUUCAAAUAUAUUUUGACAAAUAUAAUUAGAGUAAAAUUCCCAAGUAGGUGCUGCUUUUAAGGAUUCUUACACUUCUUGUUUUUAGUAUUUCAGUUUCUAAGCCUCGAGGAUGACUUUUCCUGAAAUGAAAUAAAAAGUUCAUUUGUGCCCUUUUGAUAGCAAGAAUUAUCACAGGUGUAUUUUUUCUCUCUAAGUUUACAAUGACUUUUCAUUUCAUAAUAUACAUACCUAAUAUCAAAUGUAACAUGACAUCAAGUAUUUCCUUCUACAUUAGCAAGAAAGAACUUGAAACCUCUUGAAGGUGACCAUUCAUAGUUUACUCUAUUGCACUGAUAUCAGUCUUAAAAUAAUGAUUUACAAUGUUCAAGUGAUGUAUAAUUUACUAAAAUAAUUCACUAAAGUCUCCCAUUUUGACUUUGGUCAUUUCUAAAAAUUUCAAAUAACAAAAAUAAAACAUAUGUACCAAUAUUAACAGAUACUUAAGCACAUCAUAAGACGUAUAUAAAACAGAACAAUACAAACUGAUUAAAGACAA